rnacentral:lncRNA from 1 species
CGUGUGCCCGGACCCGCUCCCUGGGCGGGCCGCGGGGGCUCGGCGGUUGCAGGGUCUCCCCUUUCAUGCCCGUGCAUUCUGCCCUCCGUGCCCGCAGAGCGUUCCUUCCUCCCGGUGCUGAGGACGGGACUGGGCAGGGAGACCCUGCCUGGGCCUGGUCUGUCCCAGGCAGGUGCCCAUGUGUCGGCAGGUGGUUUUCCUUGGACAGGGCCUUUGCUGAGGGAAGACUGGAGUCUGAGUGAGGACUGGGGCAAUGCCCCCAGUGCUGGAGCCGUGCUGGUGACCAUUCUUCCUGGGGGCAGCUGGUGCCAGCCAAGUGCCACUGCCGGCAGUGCCGGUUCGCGGCCGGUUUCCUGCCCAGCCGUGCGACACGGCCGAUUAGGAGCUGCUGUUCCACCCCAGCAGUGACAGUGCUGGGCUGCGAGGACUUCACCGUGUGAGAUAAGGAAGGUGCCGGCCCCUGCGGCCUGGCUCGGGUGUUGUCAGAUACAACCCAUUAGCAGGAGAGCGCCGUGGGGAGUGGUUCUGCCAGCAGCCUCUGGUGCUUCCCGGAAUCACCUGGAAGACAUCCCGGGUCAUCUCUCAGCAUUAGAAACGUCCCGCUCAUCCUGGUGCGGUGGACGCAGGGAGUGCACAGCUGCCUCCAGCCCCUGCCACUGUUCCUGUGCUGGGGGCAGCACAGCCCACAGCUGCCCUGAAGCCCUUAAGCUGAGUUGGUUUAGCCAAGGACAUUCUGCGAGGCUGUAGCGUGGUGGGAACCGACGGCGAGUCUCUUUCUGGUGGGAUUGUGCUGACGCCAGUGUCUGCCCCACGGCUCAUGGCCUCUCUUCAGCCGUCUGCCUCGGCAGAGAGCAAAUCCCAGGGCGAGCAGCUGGCGGCACAGAUGUGCGCUCCCCCUGCUCCUGCCGGGGCGUGGGGCUGCAUUCCCACCCCCUUCCCAGCAUCUCCCCGUGGGGACAACAGCGAGACUGAGCCCAUCCCAGAGCAGAACUGACCGAGAGCAGUGGUGUGGCUCAAACGCCUCUGGACCGUGGGGAAGAGGUGUCCUGGUGGGGAACCAUCCUGGCUGCUCCUGCCUUGCCGAGCUGCAGCACCGCUGGUGGCAUCCUGCGUGGGACCCCCGCAGCAUGGGGACAGUCAGCGAGCUCUGCGCCUCCAGUUUCCAGGCGUUCCUCUGCCCCUCGGUGGCUGCCAAGGCAGGUAGGCACUGCGUGCCCCCCUUCCCUCCGUGCCGCGGGGUUCCCAUCCCCCAGCAGACACGGCGGGGCCCAUGGCUCCAGCU